GCCGGCGACGUUGCAGGGCCGCGAGGCAUUAUGGGUGCCGCCAUUAACCCGCUGCCGCCCGGAGGCCUGACGGGAUGGGCCGCGCCGGGCGGGCAGCGGCAGUGGCGGAGAGGAGGGCGGAGAGGAGCUGCGGCCUGUGGCGGCAGAGGCAGGAGCAGGGGGACGCGGGCGCACGGUGGCAGAGGGAGAGAAAAUCCCCCCGGGUGAGAGCUGCAGAGGCAGAUUUCCCGAACUCUUUCUAAUCUAUUAAUAAAACUUGAUUUCAGCCAUUAAAUAUUGUGGUCCCUGAUAUAAACAAAGUAGCACUACCAGACAUUUUAAAUUCCACAAAAGAAUGUGAAAAAUUCUAGAAUUGAUGAUGACAUCAGCUAUGUGGAUGGGAGAGAAUCAUAAACCUUAAAAUACUAAAGAAAAAAGAACAACAACAAAGUCCUAUUUUGACUUAUUUAUAAAGACCUACAUGGGAUGAAUACAGUACUAGUCGCACUUCUCAUGGACUGAGAAGCUAUAGAUUUUUAUUGCCUUCUUCCCUGACAGCACACCUGAGAUUAGCAAGUACAUCAGAGUAAUGUGCAGGAUGUCACAACACUUAAAGUGAGGGGGAGCAAAAAGAAACGUAGAUACGCUUGUUAGAUAAAUCUGUUUAAUAAAUCUGAAGAGCGAGUGGAAAGGAAUAGACCUGCUUGCAUUGUAAAUGCCACCAUUCAAGUUGUACAUUGCCAUUAUUUAUGACUUAUGAAGCUUUAACUGUGUGAAUAAUAAAAAAAUACUGAACUCAGCCCUUUUAGCUUUAUGAGUAGGCUCAUUAGUUGAUGUGAAUGUGAUAACACCUUUUACUUGUAGGGUUUUUUGGUUCUUCUGUAUGUUGCAUGCUCUGAAUAGCAUGCUGUGAACUGUAAGCAGGUUUUCAUCCAUGCAACGAAAGACUUGGUCACAUUUUAACCUAACGGGUUUCAGAACUCCAAGUGGCAUCAGGGGAAUGUCUUAUAUUUUUAAAUUUCUACGGGAUCACAUACGUACUAAAAUUAUGUCACAUAAAAAAUAAUAGAAAAAUAAAACUUGAAAUGUUUUCUGCCAUAGGAUGA